AUUGAACGCUGGCGGCAUGCCUUACACAUGCAAGUCGAACGGUAGAGGGGGCAACCCCUCGAGAGUGGCGAACGGGUGAGUAAAGCAUCGGAACGUGCCCAGUAGUGGGGGAUAGCCCGGCGAAAGCCGGAUUAAUACCGCAUGAGACCUACGGGUGAAAGGGGGGGAUCGCAAGACCUCUCGCUAUUGGAGCGGCCGAUGUCAGAUUAGGUAGUUGGUGGGGUAAAGGCCUACCAAGCCGACGAUCUGUAGCUGGUCUGAGAGGACGACCAGCCACACUGGGACUGAGAGACGGCCCAGACUCCUACGGGAGGCAGCAGUGGGGAAUUUUGGACAAUGGGCGCAAGCCUGAUCCAGCCAUGCCGCGUGCGGGAAGAAGGCCUUCGGGUUGUAAACCGCUUUUGUCAGGGAAGAAAUCCUUUGAGCUAAUACCUCGGGGGGAUGACGGUACCUGAAGAAUAAGCACCGGCUAACUACGUGCCAGCAGCCGCGGUAACAC
rnacentral:rRNA from 1 species